rnacentral:rRNA from 1 species
UGGGGAAUAUUGGACAAUGGGCGAAAGCCUGAUCCAGCCAUGCCGCGUGUGUGAAGAAGGUCUUCGGAUUGUAAAGCACUUUAAGUUGGGAGGAAGGGCAGUAAGCGAAUACCUUGCUGUUUUGACGUUACCGACAGAAUAAGCACCGGCUAACUCUGUGCCAGCAGCCGCGGUAAUACAGAGGGUGCAAGCGUUAAUCGGAAUUACUGGGCGUAAAGCGCGCGUAGGUGGUUCGUUAAGUUGAAUGUGAAAGCCCCGGGCUCAACCUGGGGACUGCAUCCAAAACUGGCGAGCUAGAGUAGGGCAGAGGGUGGUGGAAUUUCCUGUGUAGCGGUGAAAUGCGUAGAUAUAGGAAGGAACACCAGUGGCGAAGGCGACCACCUGGGCUCAUACUGACACUGAGGUGCGAAAGCGUGGGGAGCAAACAGG